rnacentral:rRNA from 1 species
AGCGAACAGGAUUAGAUACCCUGGUAGUCCAUGCCGUAAACGUUGGGCACUAGGUGUGGGGGACAUUCCACGUUUUCCGCGCCGUAGCUAACGCAUUAAGUGCCCCGCCUGGGGAGUACGGCCCGCAAGGCUAAAACUCAAAGGAAUUGACGGGGGCCCGCACAAGCGGCGGAGCAUGCGGAUUAAUUCGAUGCAACGCGAAGAACCUUACCAAGGCUUGACAUGUGCCAGACCGCUCCAGAGAUGGGGUUUCCCUUCGGGGCUGGUUCACAGGUGGUGCAUGGUUGUCGUCAGCUCGUGUCGUGAGAUGUUGGGUUAAGUCCCGCAACGAGCGCAACCCUCGUUCCAUGUUGCCAGCACGUAGUGGUGGGGACUCAUGGGAGACUGCCGGGGUCAACUCGGAGGAAGGUGGGGAUGACGUCAAAUCAUCAUGCCCCUUAUGUCUUGGGCUUCACGCAUGCUACAAUGGCCGGUACAAUGGGUUGCGAUACUGUGAGGUGGAGCUAAUCCCUAAAAGCCGGUCUCAGUUCGGAUUGGGGUCUGCAACUCGACCCCAUGAAGUCGGAGUCGCUAGUAAUCGCAGAUCAGCAACGCUGCGGUGAAUACGUUCCCGGGCCUUGUACACACCGCCCGGCAAGUCACGAAAGUUGGUAA